GACGAACGCUGGCGGCGUGCUUAACACAUGCAAGUCGAACGGAAAGGCCCUGCUUUUGUGGGGUGCUCGAGUGGCGAACGGGUGAGUAACACGUGAGUAACCUGCCCUUGACUUUGGGAUAACUUCAGGUAACUGGGGCUAAUACCGGAUAGGAGCUCCUGCUGCAUGGUGGGGGUUGGAAAGUUUCGGCGGUUGGGGAUGGACUCGCGGCUUAUCAGCUUGUUGGUGGGGUAGUGGCUUACCAAGGCUUUGACGGGUAGCCGGCCUGAGAGGGUGACCGGCCACAAUGGGACUGAGAUACGGCCCAGACUCCUACGGGAGGCAGAAGCGGGAAAUAUUGAACAAUGGGCGGAAGCCUGAGGCAGCAACGCCGAGUGGGGGAUAACGGCCUUCGGGUUGUAAACCGCGUUCGCCUGGGACGAAGCGUGAGUGACGGUAAUGGAUAAAGAAGCACCGGCGAACUAAGUG
rnacentral:rRNA from 1 species